UACGUAGGGUCCAAGCGUUAUCCGGAAUUAUUGGGCGUAAAGAGCUCGUAGGCGGUUUGUCGCGUCUGCUGUGAAAACCGGAGGCUCAACCUCCGGCCUGCAGUGGGUACGGGCAAACUAGAGUGCGGUAGGGGAGAUUGGAAUUCCUGGUGUAGCGGUGGAAUGCGCAGAUAUCAGGAGGAACACCGGUGGCGAAGGCGGCUCUCUGGGCCUUACCUGACGCUGAGGAGCGAAAGCGUGGGUAGCGAACAGG
rnacentral:rRNA from 1 species